GGAUGCAGUAACUCUGACUGUAAUAAAGUAGCAUAAUUAGUUGUCAUUUAAUUGAUGGAGAGAAUGAAUGGUUACACGAAUAUUUCACUGUCUUAAAAAAAAUUUUUUAAAAUUGAAAUAAUAGUUAAGAUGCUAUUUAAAAUUGUAAGACGAAGAGACCCUAUAGAGCUUUACUAUAAACUUUUUUUUAAAUGGGUAAUAAAAAAAAUUAUCUUAUUCAGAAAGUUUGGUAGUUUAGUUGGGGCGACUGUUUUUUAAAAAUAACAAAAAUAAGCAAUAUAAUAAAUUUAUUUAUUGUAUAAUUAAACAAUUUAACAAUUACUAUAGUAGGCUAUAAUGACCCGUUAUUAUGAUAAACAACAAAUAACGAUUAAUUAAUAAAAGCUACCUUAGGGAUAACAGGA
rnacentral:rRNA from 1 species